CACACUUGCUACAGGCACCUUCUGUCCUUGUUUUGGGGGACAAUUGGAUUGAUGUUUUAUCACCCUUUUGCCCCCCCUCCUAGUUUAAAUACAUCCUAGCAAAAUCUCUGAACUGCUCACUGAGAACAUUUGUUCCCUUUUGAGAAAGAUGCAAACCAUCUUUUUUGUACAGCUUAUCUCCAUUCCAAACAGAGCUACCAUGAGAAAUAAAGCCAAAUCCUUGCUCCCGACACCAUUCCCCAAGCCACAAAUUAAAGUCCCUAAUACGCAUCCGCCUGUCGUUCUGAGUGUUAUGCACAGGCAGAACUUCAGAGAAUGACAGUGUGGAAGCAACCUG
rnacentral:lncRNA from 1 species